UGAGUUGGUCGCCUUAUCGCUGUGUAUGGAGCUUGCUCUCAUACAUAGAGGAAAGUCCGAACACCGUAACGCAGCAUAGUGGUUAACAGCCACCGGUCGUGAGAUCCGGACUAGUGCAACAGAAAGAAUGUACAGGUUAAGCUGUAGUGAAAUCAGGUAAACUCUAUGCGGUGCAAUGCCAUGUAUCCCAGCAUUUGAGCCUUGCGUGGGCGAUGCUGGCGGGUAGGCAGCUUAAGUGUGCUGGCAACAGUACGCUCAGAUAAAUGAUAAGGCCCUGUAGUUCAUGCUACUGGGACAGAAUUCGGCUUACAGACCGACUCUAAUU
rnacentral:RNase_P_RNA from 1 species